rnacentral:rRNA from 1 species
ACGGGAGGCAGCAGUAGGGAAUAUUGGGCAAUGGAGGAAACUCUGACCCAGCAACGCCGCGUGAAGGAAGAAGGUCUUCGGAUUGUAAACUUCUGUUAUAGGGGAAAAACAAGGUGAUGGUACCCUAUGAGAAAGCUACGGCAAACUAUGUGCCAGCAGCCGCGGUAAUACAUAGGUAGCAAGCGUUAUCCGGAAUAACUGGGCGUAAAGGGAGUGUAGGUGGCUAGGUAAGUUAGAUGUGAAAGACCGCAGCUUAACUGCGGAAUUGCAUUUAAUACUGCUUGGCUUGAGUGCGAAAGAGGUAAAUGGAAUUCCUAGUGUAGCGGUAAAAUGCGUAGAUAUUAGGAAGAACACCAGAGGCGAAAGCGAUUUACUGGUUCGUAACUGACACUGAGGCUCGAAAGCGUGGGGAGCAAACAGGAUUAGAUACCCUGGUA